rnacentral:rRNA from 1 species
CUACGGGUCGCUGCAGUGGGGAAUAUUGCACAAUGGGGGAAACCCUGAUGCAGCAACGCCGCGUGGAGGAUGACGCAUUUCGGUGUGUAAACUCCUUUUAUAUAGGAAGAUAAUGACGGUACUAUAUGAAUAAGCACCGGCUAACUCCGUGCCAGCAGCCGCGGUAAUACGGAGGGUGCAAGCGUUACUCGGAAUCACUGGGCGUAAAGCGCGCGCAGGCGGUUUGAUAAGUUGGAUGUGAAAGCCUACGGCUCAACCGUAGAACUGCAUCCAAAACUGUCAAACUAGAGUCUGGGAGGGGAAGAUGGAAUUAGUUGUGUAGGGGUAAAAUCCGUAGAGAUAACUAGGAAUACCAAAAGCGAAGGCGAUCUUCUGGAACAGUACUGACGCUGAGGCGCGAAAGCGUGGGGAGCAAACAGGAUUAGAUACCCGCGUAGUC